rnacentral:tRNA from 2 species
GCCCAAUUGGUGGAAUUGGCAGACACGCUAGACUUAGGAUCUAGUGCCGAGAGGCGUGGGGGUUCGACUCCCUCAUUGGGCACCA